GUCCCUUCCAACACUGAUAUUCUAUGAUUCUAUACUAACUUCCCAUUUGCCUCUACUGGAUUACAUCCAGUCAGCAUUUAACCCCUCGUUCAUCCAGCCUGCUCCACCUCUGCCCUGCUCAGGUCAGUCGAACAGCUUGAGAAGAUGUUGUCCCGGCAUGUCCUAGCUGGUCAAAGCAUCAGGGUUCUCGUUGCUCUCUGGUGUGAGCACGGCAAAGAACAUGAUUUUGGGAGGUGCAUCUGAAACCAGCAUCUGUGCGAGAGCAUCUCCAAGAGGCUGGCAGAGGUGGAGAUCCAGCCGAUGGCUUUUGAAUGUUGGGAGUGAAUCAAAAACCUUCAGGGUGCCUAUCACAAGGCAAAGGAUGCAAGCAAAGUCUGGCAGUAGCCUAUCUACCUACCCUUAAUCCAAGGAGAUUAACUGGGUGUUCACCACCACCCUGAGUAUGGAUCCCCCCCUUCUUGCAUGAUAGGCUUUUUGAGCUGGGACAGUGUGAGUUCUAGACUGGUGCAGAGGGGAUGAGGAUAGCACCACAGGGUUCUCUGGUGGCAGAGGUGCAGGAAUAGAGCCAGGACCUGAACUAGACCCUGGAACAGUCUCUGUGGCCAGCUGGGCUGUGGAAUGUCCUAGGUUCAUGUUCUGAGGAUCUGUUUGGGCCCAGAGAAUGUGCUGGAGAGGAAACACCAAUGGAGCCAGAGCUGCAGUUGGGAAGUGGCCACUGCUGCUAACUUUGUUACAAUGGGGGGAAAUUGCAGCAUAAGUGGGAGAGAUUUCUGGGUUACAAGCAAUAAAACUAUUGUUAUGGAGGAUAUUUAUGUGCUAUAGGGUGGCCUUAGCUUCAGUUGUGGGUUGAAUCCAUGCCAGAUCCCUGGCCCACCUCCUCCAACCUCCCCACGAUGUAUGAUCCAAGUGGGGGGUGAAGGGAAUUUAAAUGUGCAACUCUUGAUUUGUUCUAGCAACUGUUGCAUUGAUGGUGGGAGGGAAUCUGAUCGGGGAGUACCAGACUAACAGUGCUACCCCUCUGAUGAUUUGUAUAUAAUCAGGGUGCUAAGAGUCAUUGAACCAAACUGUAAAACCUGCAUAUAAUGGAAACCACUUCAGGCCAGAUGGUGCAGCAGCAUCCUUGGUUCCAGCACUUAUGACCACUCCGGUAGCUUACUAGCCCUCUCCAUUCAUUGAUUUGCUGUUCAGUCAGUAGGGGGCAAAAUGUUGUCGUCGUCUUGAUAAAUAGCUGUCUAUCACAGGCCUGGAAAAGUUGCUUUCUCUUCCAACCAGGGAUCUUCAGCAGACCAACAUCCUCCAAAGGUUGUCCCUGCCUGUGAUAGUGUUAAAACCAAUAUUGCUAACAGCCCCCUGGUCUGCGUGUCCUGACCCCGUAUUGAGCCCCAAAAAUGGUAGCAAGCAUAUAGGACAUUCAAGGAGGGAGUUGAUGGGAAUGGCUUUCUAAAGAUGAUUAACCAGAAAUGAAGGAGGAAUUGGAUAUUUGACUUAAUACUAUAAGUAUCUGGAGGAUGUAGUCAAUGACAUGCUAUGCUGUACCUAUAAAAGUUAGCUUUUAUUACACCCUUUCUAAAUCUAUACCUGCCAUACUUAAAAAUAUCAGUUGUAUGUGAUGGUCUUGUAUCUAGCUCAGAGGAAAUGAGCAUCUACUUGUGCUUUCAGAUGAUUAAGAUUAAGAAGGCAACUGUGUGUGUGCAUGUGUGGAGGGGGGGUGUACACUUUUGAAAGUCUGUGGCUCAGAAUACAGAGUGAGGUUUUUGCACAGCCUGUCUAUGGCUUUCUAACACUGUGUAAUCCCAGUAGGCACAGUAAUAGGUACCCAUGUCAUUGUCGGUUAGUCUGUAUACCCUUAGGGUACAGGUGGACUUUUCAGUUGUCUUCUCAACCCUAAACUUGUUCUUGUCAAAACUUGAUUUCUCAGCUUCUGUCUUAAAGUAGAGUAUCCACUCUGGAGCUUCUCCAGGUCUUUGUCGAUACCAGUGUAUAUAAGCAUUCCCGAAGUCCUGAAUGCCAGAAGCCUCACAGUUUAUACGUGCAGUUUUACCUUCUUUCCUGGUAACGGACAACUGAGCUUGUUUCAGAUGUAUUUGUGCACAUCCGUCUAGAAAGAGAACAAGAAAAGAAAACCAGAAAUUAACGUGAAUCUGGAGCAUGCAGAUGAAUGACGUCUGGAUUGGGAGACUGCAGUGUCAGGCAGUUAUGGGGUGAGAGCCUGGCCCCAUUUCCUUCUCUAGAGCCAGAUUUUUCACCCCAAGUGUUCUGCUCCUCUUAAGUGAUGACAAAUCUCCACCUACUCAGCCCAUGAUAACCCCCACAGACAACUACUGAGUGUCGGCUUCACCUAAUAUUCAGUGGGAAGAUUUUUGUUUUGUGUUUUUUUUUUUUUACAGGGCAAGGGGCAGCUAAACACACAACUCCCAUUGACUUGUAAUGAGAUUGGGUGCCUAACUCCCCUUUGUGCCCGAGGUGACCUCCUGUUCUGCUAGACCUGACCCGGUCUUAGUGAUUUAUGUGGAAAAUAUGCACUAAAUCAGCAGCUGCUGUUCAUAUCUAGUUGCAGAAGCCAAUGAAGAGUUUCUGCAGCUGGCUCAGGAAUUUUAAGAGAGGUGACAGUGGCCUCAUAGACGCAAAAGGCUGUGGCUCAGAAUGCAGAGUGGGUUUUUGUACAGGCUGUCUAAUGUUUUCUAACGCUGUGCGAUCCCAAUAGGCACAAUAGUAAGUAGCAAUGUCACUGGAGGUUAUUUUGUUUAUAGUCAGGGUACAGGUAGACUGGUCAAUCUUCUUUUCAGCAUUAAACUUUCCUUUAUCCGAGACUCUGUCAAAUUCAGACUGUGUUGAGAUGAACAGAAUCCGUUCUGGAGCUGCACCGGGUCUCUGUCUAUACCAGUGUAUAGGAGCUUUGCCAAAAUCCUCAGAUAGAGAAACAUGACAGUCAAUUCGUAAGGUUUUAUUUCCUUCCCUAGUGAUGGACAGCUGAGGUUGGGUCAGACGCACCUGCGAGGAGCCAUCUAUGGACAAACAAAGAGAAAAUAUAAAAAUAAAACUGAAAUAAUGUGAAGACUCUCUCCAGCAGCUGCUGUCAUGUACCAAUGUAUGCGGAGAGCAGUGUGAAUAGGGUGACCAGAUUUCCUGAUUUUUAUAGGGACAGUCCUUAUAUUCAGGGCUUUGUCUUAUAUAGGUGCUUUAACCCCUCCCCCGUCCCAAUUUUUCACACUUGCUAUCUUGUCACCCAAAGUGCAAGCAACACACUUACAGGAGCAAACCGUAGCCAGAACAAAAGUCUUUAACAGCAACAUUCUUGCUGCCCUUGUUGGAACUCCAGCCAAGGAAUGUAAAUGACGGUCUUGAAUGGAGAGAGACAUGUAGAUGGGGAGAGGAAGUGACUCAUUUAGAUAACCUCCAGUUAAGUGGUACUAGCUGUAGAAGAUUUAUUGCAAGGUGAGGUAGAAUUACUGCUGCUCAGUAUGACAACUUUGACCUUGGGCGAGUGUCAACCCUAGCACUGGUGUCAAAUAGAUUCCUUGGGUGUGUUUCAGGAUCAGUGUUCAUGAUUAUUAUUACUGUCGUUUAUUACUUAUAUUACUGUAGCAACCUGAGAUACUGUGCUGGAUCCGAGCCCCAGAGUGAAAACAAAGAGGCAAAGUCCUGCCUCACACUGCUGACAGCCUGAAAAAAGGAGUGACCUCUCCAGCUUGUAGGAAAGGAAAACGUCAAAACCCCUUUAUUUUUUCUACAUAUAUUUUUUUUUUUUACCAUGUCAUUGUUUAUGCAGAAAUACACUGGUUUUUGUUUUCUCCUCGCUCACCCCUAAAGCUCAUUGUGUGUUAGCAGAUUUCUUAUACAUCCUGUGGAAUAGAAAUCUUGCAGAGGAGAAGGUAGCGAUGUUGCAUAUGAGACGAGGGCCCUGUUCCAUGAGUAUGUGACAGUAUGGAAGAAAGCACGAAUGAAUUUGUUGGAAAAUUUAAUAGGCAGGUGAUGGACAAGACGGGGAAGAGAAGAGCUGAUGACCGUGCAGUUAAAACUGUAAUUGUCUUUCUGUCAUUCACUUAUCACUUGCCCAGGGAAGCUGCUGAGCCUUUCCUGAUGGAGAGAAUGAGUCAGUGCCCUCGGAUCGCAUGGAUACCAGUGGAAGAUGAUGGUGUUCACAAUGUUUCUGGGGACACUGAGCAUCUGGCAGAAUUCAGCUGUAGCAUAUUUUUCAGUCUUGAAUUCUUCAGGUUUUCUCCUACUUAAUUGUGGUACUUGGUCAUUUUACAUCUCACUACUCGUAACAGUGCUAAUACAUCUGUGUGCUAGUGCCCUUGACUGAAAUAGGAUGGCCUUGUUCAUGGACACUUAGUUUCAUCCUAGCUCUGUAAAAGGGCCAAUUUAUACCUGAAGGCGUCGUGUACAAUUAAUUUACAAGCAACUUCUUUCUCUUUUUUAAUAUUCGUUUUUAUUGUCUUGCAGUGAGGACUAAUCCACUGCAGAGAACUCUACUUGAAGUAGAGAAGGACUCUGUUCAGCUCUCAUUUAAAGGGCCACCAAGAAGUUGAUGUUCUGGAUAUUUCAAGAGCCAUUUUUGUAAACAGACAAUUCAUGCUGUUUUAUUCUGUGUUUAAUAGAGAAAUGAUCCCCCACAAAGGAAUUUGUUUAUCUGUAUAGGGCCUAUGUGAAAUUUCUGUCAAAAUGCACUCAUCCUGUGGGCCUUCAAAACCUAAUUCCUCUUCAUGGUGUGUGUGUGUGUGUGUGUGUGUGUGUGUGUGUGUGUGUGUGUUGCUUGACUGUAUGGCAGAAGGUAGAAAAGAAGUAACCAGAUUUUUUUUUUUUAAAGGGGAUGUCACAUCACUGCAGUCCUUGUUUUCCUUCCUUCAUUAUCCAUCCAAGCAUUUAUCCACAAACCCUAAACGGAGAGGAGUACUAGAGGAAUCAGCUCCCUGGGGCAGGGACUUUGAUCAUUUAUUUGCUCGUAAGGUGCAUUCAUGUGUAUGGCUAGAAAUAAAAGAUACACUCUCUGAAGCAGAUAUUUCUAUUACAUCUCAUCGAACAAACUGGUAUCGUAGACUAAAUAUGAAACCAGUCUUUAGAUCUGACCUUUGUGGUUUUAUGAGCAGGCAUCUGCUGGACUAACAAGCUCUUCACUGGUAAAUGCUAAUUAGAAAGAGGAAAAAGAUUCAAGCUAUUUCCUCUAGCAGUGUUGCAACAUAUUUUACAUUAGCAGUCUAGUUUCCAGUGCACUUGAGUAACUAACUGCACAAAGAUUACUGGAAUAUAUAGGCAGUAUUAAAAUGAGUUUAUGGACCAGGUGAUAGACUAACUAACCCUCCAUAAUGUCAGUAACCAGGAGAUUUUUCAUUAGAUCUGCAUAUUGGAUUGAACACCCUGGACUGACUCUCCUGUCCUUCCUGUUUCAAGGAAUGUCCAAUCUUGACCUAAUUCAAUUGUCGUGCCAGCUCCCUUAUGCAAACUGGUAACUGUAUCAAACCUUAGUCACUCCCCGAGAGAGCAACUAAAAAUGUUGCUGCCCUGACUAUUUAGCUGCCCUGUGCAACUACUUGGUCUUGUUGUUUGGCAGAGACAGGUGGGAUCUUACUGUUUGCAAAACUUGUGCCAGCAAUAGUUGUGUUGCUUUUAUCUCUUGUUGCAGAACCCAGUAAGGUGUUUCUGCGUCUGCUUCCAUCAUGAGAAGCAGGAUGAGGAGGUCACUGUGGUUUCUUGCAUUCGAAAGGCUGUUGUUGAGAAUACAAAGUAGGUUUUUGUACAGAAUGUGAAUGGUUUUUUGAUGCUGUGUGAUCCCAAGCGGCACAGUAAUAGGUAGCCGCAUCACUCUUGCUUAUUUUGUUUACUGUCAGGGUGCAGGUCGACUUGGAGAGCUGCUUCUCUGCCUCAAACUUUCCCUUCUCAGAAUCCUGGUCAAAGAUGGGUUUUCCUGAUGAAAGAUAGAGAAUCCGUUCCAGAGCUGCAUCAGGUCUCUGUCGAUACCAGUGUAUAUAAGCAGUACUAAGGGUUAUGCCAGAAACAUGACAGUCAAUUCGUGCAGUUCUAUCUUCUGCUUUGGUGAUGGAUAGUUGAGAUUGUACCAGUACUUGGGCCUCUCCAUCUGCAAAGAAAAGAGACAAAUGCCAUUUAAUCUGAAAUUGAAUGAACAUGGAGGAUCUCCAAUCAUUGCUCAGUAAGGUGCCUGCAUGGAGAAGCCUAGAGUGUAAAAAGCAACUUACAAGACCAAACUACUGAAGCAACAAGAUAAACUUGCAAUAGUAACAUUCUCACUAAGUUAUGAUGAGCCUGCUACUGAGAAAGAAAGGAAUAUGAAUUCUGAUCUCAGAAAAAGGGAGGGAUCACUUGAGUAGAGGAAGUGCCUGGUGAGCUAUUUCAAGGCAAUACAGAUUUGCAUUUGCCUUAUAUAAAAGUUCGAUAUAUGAACAUCUCCUAACCUUCCCUCAUGCUAUCUAGCAACUCUUCUGACUGCUGCCUUGUUUAGAACUUUUGAAAAAGAGUAUCAGAUUUUUAUAACAAUGGGAUUACAAGUACUGAGGUUCUCUGCCCCCCCAACCCCCUUUUUUAAACUUAAACAUCAGCAGAUUUGAUUACGGAAUAAUGCUCUCAGCAUGAAAAAGGCAACUAAUCUAACUUUUUCAAGCAGUGAUGAAAAUUAGAUCACUAAGUGUUGAUGCCAAGUCCAUUGAAGUCAAUGGGAAGCUCUUCAAUUGAUUUCAAUGAUCUUUGGAAUAAGCCCCAAUUCCUAGGGAGAAUUUACUUGGGGAUUUUUCAUCUUGUCUUAACUUAGAAUCCCCUCAAGUUUACAGAUCUGAUAGAAUUGUUGUCAAGGAAAACAAAUCAGUAAUCUCUUAAAUAAACACAUUGUCCUUGCACUUUAAUUUGACUUUUGCCUCAUCCAAACUCAGAGAUGCUUCAAUGAUUAACUCUUUGUUUUCACCUACAUCAGUAGAUUCCCGUUGUUUCAUAAGGGGUUUCAUAUGCUGUUUGUGAAUUCUGUUGCUAUAUACACCCUGUCUGUGAGUUUCCCUUUGGGUAUCGGUUGUCGUCUAUUCCACCCUAAUCCACAAGAGUAUGUAACUUUUAUUGGGUGACCUUCAUCUCUGUGCAGAGAGCCAGAACAAGGUCCUUACACUGUUUUAACCUCACUUAAAUCCUAUUUUGAGGGUUAUAGUGAGAAGUAAGUGCAGUAUAAACCUUGUCCUUGCCCCUCUACAAAGGGCUGAAUCUGUAACAUUGUGAAUAUACUUUGCAUGCUAUCCAAAGAAACAUAGCAACAAAUAUACCAUAUUUCAAAAACAUAGUUAUUAAGUAUACUGAUGGAGUGCUACCAGCACUGUCCCUGGUGCUUUUUUUUCAAUCAACACAAACUUCUUAACUUUCUUUGAACAGACCUAGCGGGGGAAAGGGAAUUAGGGUCAGAUCCUUAAAGGUAUUUAGGAGCCUGAACUUGGUCACCUGGAGAAACUUGGUCUGAAUUCCAAGGAUUUAAAAAUCAUAGUCUGUACCCAGGCAGCCAUUUUCCUAAUCAUGAGACCAGGAAUGAUCUCACAAAGAGGGCUGUACUGGACGAGGAUGAGAGUGGACGUUUAAAUGAGACUGAAAGCCUCCCUGUGGAAGCCUCCCUGUGGAAUUCUUGAGGGUGCUGAGAAUUGUCUGAGCCCUGCCUUGUUAAUUAAGGGCUAACUUACCACUGACUUAUGGGGAUGCACAAGGGAGAGGAAGGUUUUGAGUAAGUUGACUCACAUUAAUAGUCUCAUUGACUGAAGUGGGUUUAUUCAGGAGAGAUGGUUGUUUUCAAAAUUGACUCCUCAGGUAGUCUGAUAAUGCCUCAUCUUCCUCUGGCUCUGUUAUAUUGAAACAAGAAAAUUCAAUUAGAGUAAUUAAUUUGCUGUGCACUUAUUUUCAUACACAUUUAUACUCUGUUAAAUGGCCCUUGUGAUAGAAAUCUACAGGGUUCUCCAAUUUUAUUUUUACCAUUUAGUUUCUAUAGAAACAUGCAUUCUAGGAUGGAAACGUUGUAAUGACUGCAGUAAAUAUACAAUAUUCCUGAUCAAACAAUCUUGCCUCUGAAGAAUCAACAUCAGCCCUCUUCUUGACAUCUGGAGAGAGCCCCUUUACAGAACUGCAAAAGGAAAGCAGCACUUUCUGAAAAUGGUACCCUUGAGAAAUCUCAGCUGCUAAUGCCCAGGUCCAUGUUCCAGAUCUUGCUACAGCCCUCUGAAAAUUCUGGAGUUUUUUUGUUUUUUUUGAGGAACACAGUGGGAUAACUUUGCAUUGAGGACUGGGUCAUAACUUUAAAAAUAUACAUAAUAAUUGCCAGUACAAUGAUUAAGGGACUAGAAGGAAAAGAGUCUCUCAACUCAAGUAUAAAAUCUUAUUAUGACUUGAUUGAAUUCCGUACAUAAGUCUGAGAACUACUAAAAAUAAACUGCACACUUUGCUCAUACAGAGCUUAUUCUAUAAAGCACUAAAUAAUGAUGGAAGUGCUGUGGUCUCUCAGCUCUCAUUAGUGCCUACAGAUGAUGAUGAGAGUACCCACUACCUUUUGGAAAUAGCUCAGUAUCUUGCAGGAUGGAGCACCUUUCCUCUGGAGAUUUCAAAAUACUUUAAUCAAUUAAUCAAUCUUUAAUGCAGGAAAAAAGAAAUGCCAAACAUCUUCCUUACUGAUUCAGAGGAUGGCGUGAAGAAUAGACUUACAAAACUUGCAUAUGAUUAAAAACUGGGUUGAGUUGCAGACACCAGUGAGGACUGAGAAAAUAUGAAAAGCUUUCAGAAUAUCAGGAAAACUUAUUGACAUUGAGAUCAAUCAGGCAUGGAAUCAUCUCUCAAAGGAGGAGAUGGAAGCCCCAUUUUGGAGACCUUUAAAACUAGACUAGACAAAACACGAGAAAAUACUUCUGUAGGGAAUAGUUCUGCCUUGGCAGGAAGAUGGACUGGAUGCUGUAAUAGGUCUCUUCCAUUUCAAACCUCUCUGAUUUUAUGAACCUUAAAUACAUGUAAAGAAUUCUUUGGAAAUAAAUAUGUAAGUACUACACUUCUGUAAAUGUCCCAUGUUCAUGA